rnacentral:sRNA from 1 species
AGAAGCUCUGCUCCCCGGCGGGGACACUCAGUCGCGUCGGCACCGCGGAGCGGGCUGCGUCAGGUGGCUGGCCGGCGCGGCGCUCCCCUGCUCUCUGGCUCCGGACUGCGGCGCGGCGGCUGGAGCGAGCCCCUGUCCCGGCGCGGGGCGGCGGCGGGCGGCCGGCAGGCGCUGCCUUGCGUGUGAGUGCACCUCACUCACAUGUAAGUCGGGGAGCGCCGGGGCCUCCCGCGGAAGUGCGAGUCGCCCGGCGCAGGUGCUGGAGAAUCUGGUAAAAGCACCAUUGUGAAGCAGAUGAGGAUCCUGCAUGUUAAUGGGUUUAAUGGAGAGGGCGGCGAAGAGGACCCGCAGGCUGCAAGGAGCAACAGCGAUGGUGAGAAGGCAACCAAAGUGCAGGACAUCAAAAACAACCUGAAAGAGGCGAUUGAAACCAUUGUGGCCGCCAUGAGCAACCUGGUGCCCCCCGUGGAGCUGGCCAACCCCGAGAACCAGUUCAGAGUGGACUACAUUCUGAGUGUGAUGAACGUGCCUGACUUUGACUUCCCUCCCGAAUUCUAUGAGCACGCCAAGGCUCUGUGGGAGGAUGAAGGAGUGCGUGCCUGCUACGAACGCUCCAACGAGUACCAGCUGAUUGACUGUGCCCAGUACUUCCUGGACAAGAUCGAUGUGAUCAAGCAGGCUGACUAUGUGCCGAGCGAUCAG